AUUGAACGCUGGCGGCAGGCCUAACACAUGCAAGUCGAGCGGAUGAAGGGAGCUUGCUCCUGGAUUCAGCGGCGGACGGGUGAGUAAUGCCUAGGAAUCUGCCUGGUAGUGGGGGAUAGCGUCCGGAAACGGGCGCUAAUACCGCAUACGUCCUGAGGGAGAAAGUGGGGGAUCUUCGGAUCUCACGCUAUCAGAUGAGCCUAGGUCGGAUUAGCUAGUUGGUGGGGUAAAGGCCUACCAAGGCGACGAUCCGUAACUGGUCUGAGAGGAUGAUCAGUCAAACGGGAACUAGAACACGGCCAAAACCCCAAGGGGAGGCAGGAGGGGGGAAUUUGGGAAAAGGGGCGAAAGCCUGAUCCAGCCAUGCCGGGGGGGGGAAGAAGGUUUUAGGAUUGUAAAGCAUUUUAAGUUGGGAGGAAGGGAAGUAAGUUAAAACCUGGCUGUUUUGACGUUACCAACAAAAUAAACACCGGCUAACUUCGU
rnacentral:rRNA from 1 species